rfam:Schistosoma mansoni strain Puerto Rico chromosome 7, complete genome
AUCCAGUUGACGAGUCCCAAAUAGGACGAAGUGCCGCGCGUCCUGGAU